UUCUUCUCCUUCUCCUUUUCUCCUCUUCUUCCCUUCUCCUCCCCGACGCCCCACACCUCCUCGCUGCAGCCCUUGCCGCAGCCACCCUCCUCUCUCUUCUUCUUCUUCUCUUCUUCUCCUCUUCUUCCUUUCUCCUCCCCAACGCCCCACAGCUCCUCGCUGCAGCCUUGCCGCAGCCACCCUCCUCUUUUCUUCAUCUUCUUCUUCUUCUUCUUCUUCUUCUUCUCCUCUUCUUCCCUUCUCCUUCCCGACGUCCCACACAUGCACUCUAGAGGAAACAGAGGUGCUGCAGCCCUAGCUGCUGCAGCUACCUCUCUCUCCUCUCUUCCCUCUCUUUUUCCUCUUCUUCGUUCCUUCCUUCUCCCUCCUCUCCUUCUUCUCUUCUUCUUCCCUUCUUCUAUACUUUUCCUCUUUCUCCCCAAUGCCUCACAGCU
rnacentral:lncRNA from 1 species